UACGGAGGGUGCAAGCGUUGUCCGGAUUUAUUGGGUUUAAAGGGUGCGUAGGCGGGCAUUUAAGUCAGUGGUGAAAGUUCGCGGCUCAACUGUAAAAUUGCCAUUGAUACUGGAUGUCUUGAGUACAGUUGAGGUAGGCGGAAUUCAUGGUGUAGCGGUGAGAUGCAUAGAUACCAUGAAGAACACCUAUAGCGAAGGCAGCUUACUAAACUGUAACUGACGCUGAGGCACGAAAGCGUGGGGAGCGAACAGG
rnacentral:misc_RNA from 1 species